rnacentral:rRNA from 1 species
GAGGGGAGUGAAAAAGAACCUGAAACCGUGUACGUACAAGCAGUGGGAGCACAGGUUUACCUGUGUGACUGCGUACCUUUUGUAUAAUGGGUCAGCGACUUAUAUUCUGUAGCAAGGUUAACCGAAUAGGGGAGCCGGAGGGAAACCGAGUCUUAAUUGGGCGUUAAGUUGCAGGGUAUAGACCCGAAACCCGGUGAUCUAGCCAUGGGCAGGUUGAAGGUUGGGUAACACUAACUGGAGGACCGAACCGACUAAUGUUGAAAAAUUAGCGGAUGACCUGUGGCUGGGGGUGAAAGGCCAAUCAAACCGGGAGAUAGCUGGUUCUCCCCGAAAGCUAUUUAGGUAGCGCCUCGUGAAUUCAUCUCCGGGGGUAGAGCACUGUUUCGGCUAGGGGGCCAUCCCGGCUUACCAACCCGAUGCAAACUGCGAAUACCGGAGAAUGUUAUCACGGGAGACACACGGCGGGUGCUAACGUCCGUCGUGAAGAGGGAAACAACCCAGACCGCCAGCUAAGGUCCCAAAGUCAUGGUUAAGUGGGAAACGAUGUGGGAAGGCCCAGACAGCCAGGAUGUUGGCUUAGAAGCAGCCAUCAUUUAAAGAAAGCGUAAUAGCUCACUGGUCGAGUCGGCCUGCGCGGAAGAUGUAACGGGGCUAAACCAUGCACCGAAGCUGCGGCAGCGACGCUGAUGCGUUGUUGGGUAGGGGAGCGUUCUGUAAGCCUGCGAAGGUGGCCUGUGAGGGUUGCUGGAGGUAUCAGAAGUGCGAAUGCUGACAUAAGUAACGAUAAAGCGGGUGAAAAGCCCGCUCGCCGGAAGACCAAGGGUUCCUGUCCAACGUUAAUCGGGGCAGGGUGAGUCGACCCCUAAGGCGAGGCCGAAAGGCGUAGUCGAUGGGAAACGGGUUAAUAUUCCCGUACUUGGUGUUACUGCGAAGGGGGGACGGAGAAGGCUAUGUUGGCCGGGCGACGGUU